UACGUAGGGUGCGAGCGUUGUCCGGAAUUAUUGGGCGUAAAGGGCUCGUAGGCGGUUUGUCGCGUCGGGAGUGAAAUCAUCUGGCUUAACUGGGUGCUUGCUUUCGAUACGGGCAGACUAGAGGUAUGCAAGGGAGAACGGAAUUCCUGGUGUAGCGGUGAAAUGCGCAGAUAUCAGGAGGAACACCGGUGGCGAAGGCGGUUCUCUGGGCAUGAUCUGACGCUGAGGAGCGAAAGGGUGGGGAGCGAACAGG
rnacentral:rRNA from 1 species